rnacentral:rRNA from 1 species
UACGUAGGUGGCAAGCGUUGUCCGGAUUUAUUGGGUUUAAAGGGUGCGUAGGCGGUCCAUUAAGUCAGUUGUGAAAUCCGGCAGCUUAACUGUCGAGGUGCAAUUGAUACUGGAGGACUUGAGUACAGACGAGGUAGGCGGAAUUGACGGUGUAGCGGUGAAAUGCAUAGAGAUCGGGAAGAACACCGAUAGCGAAGGCAGCUUACUAGACUGGAACUGACGCUGAGGCGCGAAAGUGUGGGGAGCAAACAGG